GUGGGGAAUUUUGGACAAUGGGCGAAAGCCUGAUCCAGCCAUGCCGCGUGCAGGAUGAAGGCCUUCGGGUUGUAAACUGCUUUUGUACGGAACGAAAAGACUCCUUCUAAUAAAGGGGGUCCAUGACGGUACCGUAAGAAUAAGCACCGGCUAACUACGUGCCAGCAGCCGCGGUAAUACGUAGGGUGCAAGCGUUAAUCGGAAUUACUGGGCGUAAAGCGUGCGCAGGCGGUUAUAUAAGACAGAUGUGAAAUCCCCGGGCUCAACCUGGGAACUGCAUUUGUGACUGUAUAGCUAGAGUACGGUAGAGGGGGAUGGAAUUCCGCGUGUAGCAGUGAAAUGCGUAGAUAUGCGGAGGAACACCGAUGGCGAAGGCAAUCCCCUGGACCUGUACUGACGCUCAUGCACGAAAGCGUGGGGAGCAAACAGGAUUAGAUACUCCGGUAGUCC
rnacentral:rRNA from 1 species